AUCCUGCUGCCUCAGCCUCCCAAAGUGCUGGAUUACAAGCAUGAGCCACUGUGCCCAGCCUUAAGUUUUUUUCAUACAGGAGGAAAGAAUUUGGAAAAUAAACACAAUCUGGGAAACAUUUUAUAAUACAGAGGGCCACACCAGAUUGAAUAUUGCCCCCAGGAAUGAAAUGAAAACAGGAAUGGAUUCUCCAGUAAGAGGGUAUCACAGGGCGUCAAACUGGAAAAUGUGGCACUGCCUGGAGUUUCUACCUGGUGAAGGGUGGCAGACUUUUCUCUUCAGAGGACUCUUGACAGGGUAGCAUCCAUUAUCUUGCCAAUUUACUACAACCUAGGCCCAAUCCUCAGUCUUAUAGGUUCAGAAAUUUAUUUUUAUCAGCAUCAACAGGGUAGCUACAUUGCUUAGAAGCAAACAAAAUUAACCAUGCUUCAAUAGAAAUCAGGAUAUAGAUGUAUUAAUACAGAAUGACAAAUAUAACUGUGACAGAAAUAGGAAUGCCUGUUUAUGGUCAUAUACAGCCAAUACUUUCAUUACAGCCAAACUCAUACAUGCAGCCAAAUAAGAGGCCCCUGGAUACACAGGGAAUCAGAAUAAAAAAAGAAGAACUGAACAUUUAAUAGUCUUCUUUCAUUCAAUCAAUAAUUUUUUUUAAUUAAGCAACUACUAUGUCCGGGUAACCUUCUAGGUCCUGGGGAUACAGAGGUCUCUGCUUACAGAAGUCAUAUGUAAGUAGCAGGUGAAGAGUAUGUGUUUCACAGAAGUUUAUUACAAUAUAUUAACAAGAGCAAAAAAUUUUGGAAGCAAUCUAAAUGUUCAAUAAUAGAGCUCCAAUUAAAUAACAAUAAAUCCAAAUAAUGAAAAAUAAUGCAGCCCUUUAAGAAUAAGCACUUGCAAGCCGUAAUUCAUGACAUGGGAAAAUUAUCAUAAUGGAAAAAGAAGCAAGCUAUAUAUAGUGCAUGAUC